UUAACGCUGGCGGCGUGCAUAACACAUGCAAGUCGAACGAUGAAGAUUAUUAGACUUCUUCGGAAUGAAAAUAAUUGGAUUAGUAGCGGACGGGUGAGUAACGCGUGAGUAACCUGCCUUACACAAGGGGAUAGCCGUUGGAAACGACGAAUAAUACCCUAUGAAACUAUCACUUCGCAUGAAGCGAUAGUCAAAGUGUUAGCGGUGUAAGAUGGACUUGCGUCUGAUUAGCUAGUUGGUGAGAAAAAAGCCCACCAAGGCAACGAUCAGUAGCCGGCUUGAGAGAGUGUACGGCCACAUUGGGACUGAGACACGGCCCAGACUCCUACGGGAGGCAGCAGUGGGGAAUUUUGCACAAUGGGGGAAACCCUGAUGCAGCGACGCCGCGUGAUUUAGAAGGCCUUCGGGUUGUAAAAAUCUUUUGUAUAGGAAGAAAAUGACAGUACUAUACGAAUAAAGUCCGGCUAAUUACGU
rnacentral:rRNA from 1 species